GAUGGAUAUUACGUAAAUGAUUAUUACGACAAUUGUUGCGAUGCGACGCGAGCGAAUAAUUUGCGAGAGAUCGCGACGAUGGAUAUAUUCCGCGGAAGGGAAUAAGACUCGUAACGAUAUUAAAUAAUAAUGAAAAUAAAUAAAUAUCGUAGAGAAGUGUAUAUGUGGGUAUAUGUAUGCGUGCCCCAUGUAUGUGUGUGAGAAUCGAUGAAACAUACGAGUUUGUUCGUCCCUCCGUCAGAGGGUCCGUAUAGUUGGCAGCUUCGUUACACUUCCGGUGUACUUCCGCAUAGCGAGAGGACACGCGUGCACCUGCUCUCGCGGAAACGAUUUUUCUUGCGUAUCGCACCGUUUAUUUAGAAAGGGAAUAAAAAUGAAUCGUUACUCUUCUGGACAGAGACGCAUCAAUUGUACGCGCGAAGACCAUCAUCCUCAUCAUCAAGAAGAAGCAUCCGAACGGGUUACGUCAUCAAGCGUGAGAACCGUCCGCGAUCCUUCCAGGACUCCAGAAUAGGAUCCCUUCCUCCUUACGGCAAGAGGGCCGGCCGAUAGAAAUCGGCUCUGAGGAUAGGCGAGUGCGAACCGCUCGAGGGGCGAGGGAGGAGCGCCGCAGAAUGGUAUUUCCGUUGUGUUAUAUCGUCUGUCCAUUUGGCAGGCUUCAGGUUUGACCAGGAGCAUGCGCGCAACGUGCGUCCACCUACCCGCUCAUCUACCUGCCUACUAAUCUGUCUGCCUGUUUACCGGUUUGCCUUGAUCCCCUGAAUAAUCAGUAGGUGGGUUGCUAUGAAGACGUGGCGAUCGUCUACUUUUCCGCGAAACUAGCGAAGUAUCCUCCUGAAAUCCAGGUAUGGCACAUGAUGAGGCAAGACGAUGCGAUAUCGAGGCCAACGAGUAAAAUUAGAUAGCGAGGAUGGAAUCCGAGCGCCGGUAUGCGAAAUGGAAACGGAAACGGCUUCGGUCGUCUAUACGAAAGAUGGCCGCAAUGCGAUGCCGCGCAAGAAAAUGGCGCUUUAGCAUCCGCAAAUGGUCGGUUGCGCGUAUCUCACGCUCUCUCGCGUGACAGAACGAAAUAUAGCGCGCGCUAUAUUUUUCCCCCUUUUAUCGUCGAAUUAAAAUCAGAAAAUUUCAACCGUAAUCCAUUCUAACUGUAUUAUAAUCUAACGUGUGAUGUGUACGUACUUAUAUA